GGGGCCGCUCUCUGGCACACAGAGCCUGGCACUGAGGCCUCGACAGAUGGCCGAUGAGCAGGGAGCCUCUCUGGUACAUUCAGAACGCUGCUGUCCGUCAGAGAGCAGCGAGAGAAGGGACGGUAGGGCUGGCCGUCGGGUCAAAAUCUCUACCCCCACAUUGCAGUGUGUCCAUGUGCUUGGACAUCCUGGCAGAGUGUCUGAAGUUAAUGGAGUCAAAGCAUCAGCGCUACACCCGAGCUGCUUCUCACUGGACACAGUGACCCGAGGCAAGAGCACUUAUCACAGGUCCUUAUCAGCUUAAUCCAACAGAAUGCUGCUGGAGCUCUGGCGGACAAGGUCACAAACAGUCUUUAGCACAGCUCACACCUAUUAGCGCGAUGAAGUACUGACAGGAAUGCCAACAGUUCACCUGGCCGCUGUAUCGAACCAGUGGAAGCCGGGAGUCACAGACGCAAUAAAGCAAACGCCAAAUGAAAGAUAUCCUUGACACAGUUUUCAUUUUGCAUUUAACAGCUUUGUCAAUUUUUUUGAGUAUUUUUCAGAUCAAAUGAUUUUAAAAAGGGUUACUUUUGCUUUUUACCUUCGCAUUGAAAAUGCGGAAGGUUAUGUUUUGAUCGCUGUGUAUUUAUUUGUAUGCGUGCGUGUUAUUGGCAUAACUCAAAAAGUAUUAAACCGAAACGCAUGACA